rnacentral:rRNA from 1 species
GAUGAACGCUGGCGGCGUGCCUAAUACAUGCAAGUCGAGCGAACGGACGAGAAGCUUGCUUCUCUGAUGUUAGCGGCGGACGGGUGAGUAACACGUGGAUAACCUACCUAUAAGACUGGGAUAACUUCGGGAAACCGGAGCUAAUACCGGAUAAUAUUUUGUACCGCAUGGUUCAAAAGUAAAAGACGGUCUUGCUGUCACUUAUAGAUGGAUCCGCGCUGCAUUAGCUAGUUGGUAAGGUAACGGCUUACCAAGGCAACGAUGCAUAGCCGACCUGAGAGGGUGAUCGGCCACACUGGAACUGAGACACGGUCCAGACUCCUACGGGAGGCAGCAGUAGGGAAUCUUCCGCAAUGGGCGAAAGCCUGACGGAGCAACGCCGCGUGAGUGAUGAAGGUCUUCGGAUCGUAAAACUCUGUUAUUAGGGAAGAACAUAUGUGUAAGUAACUGUGCACAUCUUGACGGUACCUAAUCAGAAAGCCACGGCUAACUACGUG